GAGUCAGUAGGUUGGUCGUGCCACCGGUACGUACUGGUCUCACUGAUUCCUCCUUCCUGAAGAACCGUAAUGCCAUUAAUUUGGUGUUGCGGGGAAACAGGACUGUUACUUUGAAAAAAUUAGAGUGUUUAAAGCAAGCUAACGCUUGAAUACAUUAGCAUGGAAUAAUGAAAUAGGACGAUCGAUCCUAUUUUGUCGGUUUCUAGGAUUGACGUA
rnacentral:rRNA from 1 species